UCAGGACGAACGCUGGCGGCGUGCCUAAUACAUGCAAGUUGAGCGCUGAAGGUUGGUACUUGUACCGACUGGAUGAGCAGCGAACGGGUGAGUAACGCGUGGGGAAUCUGCCUUUGAGCGGGGGACAACAUUUGGAAACGAAUGCUAAUACCGCAUAAAAACUUUAAACACAAGUUUUAAGUUUGAAAGAUGCAAUUGCAUCACUCAAAGAUGAUCCCGCGUUGUAUUAGCUAGUUGGUGAGGUAAAGGCUCACCAAGGCGAUGAUACAUAGCCGACCUGAGAGGGUGAUCGGCCACAUUGGGACUGAGACACGGCCCAAACUCCUACGGGAGGCAGCAGUAGGGAAUCUUCGGCAAUGGACGAAAGUCUGACCGAGCAACGCCGCGUGAGUGAAGAAGGUUUUCGGAUCGUAAAACUCUGUUGGUAGAGAAGAACGUUGGUGAGAGUGGAAAGCUCAUCAAGUGACGGUAACUACCCAGAAAGGGACGGCUAACUACGUGCCAGCAGCCGCGGUAAUACGUAGGUCCCGAGCGUUGUCCGGAUUUAUUGGGCGUAAAGCGAGCGCAGGUGGUUUAUUAAGUCUGGUGUAAAAGGCAGUGGCUCAACCAUUGUAUGCAUUGGAAACUGGUAGACUUGAGUGCAGGAGAGGAGAGUGGAAUUCCAUGUGUAGCGGUGAAAUGCGUAGAUAUAUGGAGGAACACCGGUGGCGAAAGCGGCUCU
rnacentral:rRNA from 1 species